AUACGGAGGGUGCAAGCGUUGUUCGGAAUUAUUGGGCGUAAAGAGCAUGUAGGCGGUCUGUUAAGUCUGGUGUGAAAGCCCGGGGCUCAACCCCGGAAGUGCAUUGGAUACUGGCAGACUUGAGUAUGCGAGAGGAAAGCGGAAUUCCGAGUGUAGGAGUGAAAUCCGUAGAUAUUCGGAGGAACACCAGUGGCGAAGGCGGCUUUCUGGACCAAUACUGACGCUGAGAUGCGAAAGCGUGGGGAGCGAACAGAAUUAGAUACCCUAGUAGUCC
rnacentral:rRNA from 1 species